rnacentral:rRNA from 1 species
GACGAACGCUGGCGGCGUGCUUAACACAUGCAAGUCGAACGGGAUUUAGUAGACAGAAGCCUCGGCUAAAGAUUACUAAUGAGAGUGGCGAACGGGUGAGUAACGCGUGAGCAACCUGCCUAUGACAGUGGGAUAGCCUCGGGAAACCGGGAUUAAUACCGCAUAAAAUCGUAGAAACACAUGUUUUAACGGUCAAAGAUUUAUCGGUCAUAGAUGGGCUCGCGUCUGAUUAGCUAGUUGGUGAGAUAACAGCCCACCAAGGCGACGCUCAGUAGCCGGUCUGAGAGGAUGAACGGCCACAUUGGAACUGAGACACGGUCCAAACUCCUACGGGAGGCAGCAGUGGGGAAUAUUGCACAAGGGGGGAAACCCUGAUGCAGCGACGCCGCGUGAACGAAGAAGGUAUUCGUAUCGUAAAGUUCUGUCCUAUGGGAAGAUAAUGACAGUACCAUAGAAGAAAGCUCCGGCUAAAUACGUG